AUUGAACGCUGGCGGCAUGCUUUACACAUGCAAGUCGAACGGUAGCGCGGGCUUCGGCCUGGCGGCGAGUGGCGAACGGGUGAGUAAUACAUCGGAACGUGCCCAGUAGUGGGGGAUAGCUCGGCGAAAGCCGGAUUAAUACCGCAUACGACCUGAGGGUGAAAGCGGGGGAUCUUCGGACCUCGCGCUAUUGGAGCGGCCGAUGGCAGAUUAGCUAGUUGGUGGGGUAAAGGCCUACCAAGGCGACGAUCUGUAGCUGGUCUGAGAGGACGACCAGCCACACUGGGACUGAGACACGGCCCAGACUCCUACGGGAGGCAGCAGUGGGGAAUUUUGGACAAUGGGCGAAAGCCUGAUCCAGCAAUGCCGCGUGUGUGAUGAAGGCCUUCGGGUUGUAAAGCACUUUUGGCGGGAACGAAAAGGACUGUGCCAAUACCACGGUUCGAUGACGGUACCCGCAGAAUAAGCACCGGCUAACUACGUG
rnacentral:rRNA from 1 species